AGAGAUGUGUGAUGACGCAUAUCAAUAAGCGGAGGAAAAGAAACUAACAAGGAUUCCCUUAGUAACGGCGAGUGAAGCGGGAAGAGCUCAAAUUUGAAAUCUUCAAGGUUCUACCUUGACGAAUUGUAGUUUAAAGAAAUGUUUUCUGUUGGAGUUUUGGUAAAAGUUCUUUGGAAUAGGACAUCAUAGAGGGUGAGAAUCCCGUAUUUGACCAUUAUUUUCAGCUGUGUGAUACACUUUCAAAGAGUCGGAUUGUUUGGGAAUGCAGUCCAAAAUGGGUGGUAAAUUUCAUCUAAAGCUAAAUAUUGGCGAGAGACCGAUAGCGAACAAGUACCGUGAGGGAAAGAUGAAAAGAACUUUGAAAAGAGAGUUAAACAGUACGUGAAAUUGUCAAAAGGGAAGCGUUUGACACCAGUGUUGUUUUUCCGAAAAUCAAUUACGAAUGUUUUGUUUUUAAGAAGUUAUGACUUCAUCGGCUUGCUUCUUUCUUUACGAAACUUUCUUAAUGCACUUUUCGGUUAACAAGUCAACAUCAAUUUCUUUUGUUGUAAAAGGGUAUGAGGAAGGUGGCUUUCUUUUCGGAGAAAGUGUUUAUAGCCUUUUAACUCUGCAAUCGGAGAGAUUGAGGUCUGCAGCGUAGAUCCUUCGGGGUUAGAUACGUUUGUGCUAAGUUAUAGCUUUUCAUAGACAACUUGUUGACUAUGUUUAGUCUUGUAGCUUACUCGCUGACGCUAUUUUACCUACGCUUAGGAUGUUGAGUAGCGACAUACGCAC
rnacentral:rRNA from 1 species